GGAAUCGUAGCUUAACUGGUUAAAGCACCGCCCUGUCACGGCGGGGAGUGAGGGUUCAAGUCCCUUCGGUUCCG
rnacentral:tRNA from 1 species